AGAGAGAGACAUGCGCGCAUAUCAAUAAGCGGAGGAAAAGAAACUAACAAGGAUUCCCUUAGUAACGGCGAGUGAAGCGGGAAGAGCUCAAAUUUGAAAUCUUCAAGGUUUUACCUUGACGAAUUGUAGUUUAAAGAAGUGUUUUCUGCUGAAGUUUUGGUAAAAGUUCUUUGGAGUAGGGACAUCAUAGAGGGUGAGAAUCCCGUAUUUGACCAUUAUUUUCAGCUUUGUGAUACACUUUCAAAGAGUCGGAUUGUUUGGGAAUGCAGUCCAAAAUGGGUGGUAAAUUUCAUCUAAAGCUAAAUAUUGGCGAGAGACCGAUAGCGAACAAGUACCGUGAGGGAAAGAUGAAAAGAACUUUGAAAAGAGAGUUAAACAGUACGUGAAAUUGUCAAAAGGGAAGCGUUUGACACCAGUGUUGUUUUCCUCGAAAAUCAAUUAAAAAUGGCUCGAUUUUGUAUUGUUGAGACCUUAAAAGCUCACUGUACAUUUUUCGUGUCUUUUUUAAUGCACUUUUCGUUUAACAAGUCAACAUCAGUUUCUUUUGUUGUAAAAGGGUCAUUGGAAGGUGGCUUUCUUUUCGGAGAAAGUGUUUAUAGCCUUUGGCCUCUGCAAUCGAAGAGACUGAGGUCUGCAGCGUAGACUCUUCGGGGUUAGAUACAUUUGUGCUAAGUUAUAGCUUUUUAUAGACAACUUGUUGACUAUAAUUAGUCUUGUAGCUUACUCGCUUAUGCUACUUUACCUACGCUUAGGAUGUUGAGUCGUAGAGCACGCAG
rnacentral:rRNA from 1 species